rnacentral:lncRNA from 14 species
GAGGCGAACGGCCAGCGAGUCUCACGUUUUAGCUGUACGUUGUUAUUAGCUGCUCCCAGCCUGGGAUCACCCACCCGUUCUCCCGGGCAGGAAGCGGCUCUUGAGAGCGGCACCCCUGGACACGGCAAAGGCUGCGGCAUCACCUCUCGCUCCGGGAGCUGCGGGGUCGGGGAGCGGAGCUGCGGGGCAGAGAAGGGACAUCGGGGCUGCUACAGAGCACACGGGGAGCACGGCCGCAGGACGGCGGGAGGAGCCGCUCCGAUCUGGCCGGUGUUCUCAGAGCCCUCCCCGCGGAGGCACCGGCUGGGCCGGCCAGCACGCUCCCUCACACCCUCCUCCGGGGGUUGGCCACACCGGACCAUGCGCUCCGGGGCUCCCGCAGCAGACCCCGGCCCCGGAUCUCGGAUCCCACCUACCGGUACGGCCCGGCCAGCGGAGCCCGGUGCGUGCAACACCUCAAGCCUCCUCCACGGCGCCCUGCUCACUGCAAAGCGAUGGCCGGAGNNNNNNNNNNNNNNNNNNNNUGCCGGUGCUGCCGGUGCUGCCGGUGCUGCCGGAGCUGCCGGUGCUGCCGGUGCUGCCGGUGCCGCCGGUGCCGCCGGCCGCCUCUGUGGGGCUGUUCCGCACCGUGCGAUGCUGUAGCGGGUGUACGAGUUUUCCCAAGGGAACUCGGUGGGGUUUGCCUACGCCGGUACUGGAGGAGCUCCGGAUGAGGAGGCCGGAGCUGCUGCAGCAGCAUUCUGUCUCUUUUACCAGUCAAACACCAAGGGAAGGGCUGCAAGAAGGGAUUUCUGCGUCUGACCUCGGCUGCGCCAAGUCCAUCCUCGUGAUUGAGGGGACAGACGUGCCAGGGGGAAGCAGCUCUGCUCAUGCCUUGAGGCCUGGCCCAAUUGGCAUCCCACGUGAACAACUCACAAGGAUCACCUCUGAUCCCGGCACAGCGAGGAGGCUGCGGAAACAAGGACAGAAGCCACAGAACUCUUCCCUCAGCCCAGCACAGAUUCACUGAAGUCAAGUCAGACAAGUCCUGAGCUCCAAGGCCCAGGGAAGACUUUUGUGCCGACUGAGCUGGACGCGGCUGAGGGGACAUCCAGGAGCUCUCUCUGGCUGCUGUAAUUCCUUUGGAUCUCUGCUAAGCUACACCCAGCUCUAGCCCUUGAUUUUGGGUGGGGUUCUCUUGGUUCUUCCACAUGGCCAUGUGUAGCUUUCCCAGGAACCGGAGCACAGGGGGAUGAAAGGUCAUUGCUAACAGGCUCUGCUGGCCUUGGUCCUGUCUGACUCAUGUCUGAGACGAUUCUCCCACAGCCAGGGUUGCUGCAGGCUGGUGGCUGCUGUGUUUGCAGCAGUUGUAACGCAUUUUGUAGUGACUGAUUGGGAAGGUUCAUGCCCUCAGGAGCUCUUUUGCUGGAGCGUUUGAUGGUGAACGGGUGGUUGACACCCUGAGUUAUGUUGAUACCAUGCAGAGUUUACAGUCCCUUUGCAGAUCCCCCUACAGGCUUUCCUCACCUUCAAGGAGUGGGGGCUUGUUCCUUCCUUCCUAUGACUGGUCUUGAAAAACCUUUUCUGUUAGCAGCAGGGAUUAGUGAGAAUUGAACUGUGAUCUAUGAAGGAAGAAGUAAAGAAUUGAGUUGUUAAGGGCAGAGGAGCAGAGCCUCGGGGAAGACAAGCCAGCUGUGAACUAACUGACCUCCAGACUCUCCUUCAGCAGCUGUGCUUCCUGCACUGCUGUGAUAACCACCCUCCAAUAAAUAAAAGGCUGCCAUAAAAAGCCA